UUCAUUCCACCUGACAAAGCUGAUAAGCAGCGGAUAAGAUAUGGCCGACCAAUCACACUCCACCUUUAACCUAUGUCAUCUAUGUCAACUGACAAACACAAAAUUUUCACCAAUCAGGCUGCAGGUUAUUUAUUGCCUGAUUGUAGUGUUGAGGGUGUUGAGUAUUCGUGCAGGGGCUGGGCCGGUAGCAGGCAGAGGAGAAAACCUUUAGUUUUUCAUUUAUAUGUAUUGAUCUAUUUCUUUUUAGGUAUGGUGUUCUCAACGUCUUAAAACUAAAAUAUCCCCUCUAGUACAUGCUAAAAUUACUUUCAAUUUAAUGACUAAACAGCAGCCCAAUUUUUGGAUCAAUUUAAUGAAAAUUAGUGAAUUCCAAUAAUAAGUAGAUGCCGCUUACCAAUCUCUGCUUCAAGAAUUAGUUUUGAAUCAUCGUUGAAAAUGUUGACAAGUUAGCUUAGGAAAGUAAAAUUAUUCAGCAGACAAUCUUCAUCAGCAAACUCGGAAGUCGUCGAGUUUUCCUAGUCUCAAUAUUUCUAUAUGAUGUCCGAUUGCGAUUGCAUCUGUAAAAAAAUGGGCAUUCGUCCUGUAAUAGACUCCUUGGGUUUUUCUGACUAGCCAGUGAAGAGUCUCAUAAAUUAGAACCAUGUGAUCGCUCUUCAAAAGUAAAUAAGAAGAAGGAGUAGCCCAAUGAAUCAUCUUUUAAACUGUCUUUUUUUUUGCUUGUCUAGGACAAUCGUCCCAUGGAGGAAGUCUCGAACCAUCCUUCACUGGAGGGUCAAGCGUCUGUUACUAGAAAACCCAGAUCAAGGUAAUCUAUGAAAGUGCAACCUAAGAUGGAUGACGGUCAAGCUCAAGCAAGUUACGGCGCUGGUUCGUCCGAAGAUAUUGGAACCACAACGGCGUACCUGUGGGAAAAUAACGAAUCUGUUGUAUCAUGGUUGAUGGUCAGUUAUCUCCAGAUGGCUCAAUCUCACCAAACUCUAUUGUUGCCAACAAUAUCAGAUGUGUUCAGAGAGAUGCACUUAUCCACCAAAUUAAAACAUCAAUGGAGGAGUCACCAGAUGUUGCUCAAGAUGCAGUCGUUGAAAAUGUUCCAGACUUGUCUGCUAGUGAAAGAUCUGAAGUUCUGAGAAAAUUAUCGCAUUUGGAAACGAUUAGUAAACCUGAACCUCAAAGUUGAGCAGAAUCUGUAGUCUGAAAUAAGGGUUACAAUUGUACAAAAUAUUUAUUUUUAAUUUAUCAGUUUAGUUAUCAAGUUUUCUGUGUAAAUGUUUACACAACUGAUUAUUGUCAAUGGAAAAGACAUCAAUGAUUUCUGCAUCCACGGGGAAUAAUGUAAUUAUUUCCUGUCCUGUAGAAAAAGUCUUGCGAUAGCUGUUUCUGUUUUUGGUCUAAAAAAGAAAUUUUUAGAGAAUGAAGAAACGACAGCUCUUUUUCAGUAAGUAAAAAUAUAAAUGCAAGUGAGAGAAAAAAUGUAUUUUUUGAAAUCCCAAUGGUUAUUUUUAAUAGAACUGAGAUUUUCAUAAUGAUUAUUGUGAUCAUCAUCAACAGUUUUGGUUUGCUCUGUUGUUACUUUUGGUGAAACCUUCCAAUUUUUUUUGUUGCAAUUUUAUUUUUCAAGUUUUUUCUUGUUAUCACUUUGAACAAAUUAAUGUUAUUUAUUUUAUACAAAAUGGAAAUAAAAUCUUAAGAUUUACACGUCAAUGUAAAAUUAUAUCUUUUUUGUCUUUGAAAAUUUUGGAAUUCUCCUUUUACCAGCAAGUGGUAGCAAAGGCGCUGCAAAGCAAGUUUACAAAACUCAUCGUAUCUCGCGAUCUAAUCCAGGAAAGGAGGACACAGCAUAGUCUCCUCAUUACCUCAUUCACUUAUGACCCUGAGCAUGAGUGUUAUUUCGAUGAGAGCACUAUGAAAAGAGGGGCCAGUAGUAGAUCUUUUCAUCAUGGUAUCAACUUGUCGUGUGUCCCUCCUUUCCUGAAAAACACCAACAUUUAGAAUCUGACUGUAAAUGAAAUGUUUAAUGAAGGGACUCAAGGGACUGUUGUUUAAUAUGUUUUUCCUGGUAUUUUAUCCUUAAAUACCAAUUGAUCCAUUUUCAUGGUGUUGAAAAAUCGAGAGCACUAAAAUUUCUAGUAAAAUAAAUGAUAAAAAUUUCGAUUAUAGGAAAGUAAUCAGGCAUUUAUUAAUCAACUAACAUGAAGACAGAGAGAAAAGAAGUCUAACCACUAGAUUCUGAAAAAUUACAAAUUAACCUUUGAAUAUUAAAACAAAAAAUUUGAAAAAUGAAAAAAAUUAAAAAUAAAAUAAAGACUCUACACUACAAUUACACAUGUUUGACCAACUGAGCUGUAAAAUUAAAAUCUUCAACAUCGUAAUGAUAAAAGUUAAUUAGAACAUCAGUAUUUCAUAAAGCACAUUUCAUAAAAGGGCACAAUCUAACUUUAAUAUUCUCAGUUGCCAAUGAGCAUUGUUAAAAAAUUGUUGGAAGUAUGGACAUGGGUUCAUGAAUGAUGAUGGAUUUGAACAUGGUGGAAGCUCAAGUUUAUCGCAGUUUUAAGUUUUUAAUUUGAAAAUUACGAGUGUUAACGGUCCCAAGUUCACAUCAGUGCUUUCUUUGAAUACAUGGAAGGAUUUGACUUGCCUGAGGUGAGGCUAUUGCACAUUUUGCAUGAGCUUUUUGAACAAGUCUGAUAUUACUUUGCAAAGAUUUAUUUAACAAAGGCUUUUACUAGUGUCCUUAGUAAAUAAAUAUAUAUAUAUAUUUUUUGCAUUCAAUAGGUAAGUUUAACAGCCUAAGUUUUUAGAAGAUCCUAUAAGAGAGUUGAACAGUUAUUCCACUGCAGAUCAAAUUUGCUCCCGCCAGGUGACAAUAUUAGUUGAGCUACUUUAACACGUCAACUGCCAUGGUUUUGCCAUCAAAAGUUAAGAGGUGCAAAAACUUGCAAGUAUGACAGAUAGCGCUCCAGAGCAGCGGUCAUUCUUUGAAUGUGGUGGUGUAAUUUGAAGUUUAGAUAUGCGAUGGUAGAGAGCAGAAAUGAUUUAAGAAUGGCUUCCAUAGGAGCCAAUCCCCUAGAGACUGGCGUGGCAGUUAAAAAAUCAGAUUCGUAGAGGCUGAUUUUUGUUCUGAAAGAAUACUUCAGAACAAUAUUUACAUUUUUUUACGGUCAAAGCAACUAAAAAUAAAUGCAAAAUAUGACAGAUAUUAGGCUCUACUGUACCAAUCGAUGAUGAAACUUUUUGCCAUCAUUAAACUUCAACUUCCGGCCAUUUAGAUCUUGUAUUUUGAAUGAUCUUUUAAAGAACUGCCUUUCCUCCAGGAGAGAGAAAAGUUAAAAUUAAAAAAUUAUAAGACAAACAAGUCUGAUAUGAGUGAUUGUCGGCAGGAAAAAGGACUUUGGUGUCGAAAAAAACUUAAAAUUAAAAUAUUAGUGUCAGGCUCAGAAGAAUGAUCUGUGAGGCUGAAGUUAUAAGCGUUUUAAGUUUCUGGUUAAAAAAACUUGCUUUCGAGAAAAAACCAUUCAAGGUUUUAUCUCCUACUUUCAGGUCUCACCACGCCUAAUUCAAUGAAGUAUAUGCCCUCUAUUGGCACAAAAAUGAAAAGAAAUCACUAAUAACAUGUGCUUUGCAAUAUUCAGGACCUUUUCGAAAUUUUUAUUUCUCGGCUCAGCAAAAAACAGCUUGAGAUAUACAUUAUUUAAUGUACAUACUAGGGUUUUUUUUCCUGUGGCCUGUCACAUAUAAUAAAUAAUGCCUGGAUUCACCUUGAAGAAAGAUGAAUGAUCAAAGUAAGUUUUCUAUCACAAUGUAAGUCACAAUGCCCCCGACUUUAUAAUUCAUUGGUUAGAAAAAAAAAAAAAAAUGCAGAUACAAGCAGUAGAAAGAUUGAUGCGAAAGUUGGACAAAAGUGGGAAGUAGUUUAAAAUAGUACUGAAAUGAUAGAAAUAUUCUGUAUGAAAUACGAAGAAAAAAUUGUUGACUGUACCGGCAUUAAUCACAACACAAUGGGUUUCCUAGAGGUUAUUUCCUUUAAAGGCUCUUUAACUAAACAAUAGGUAGAUUCAUUACUUUCAUGCCAUUAACAUGGAACUCCUUCCUCUCCAUAACUAACAGAUUUUGUUACCGAAUUUGGUAAAAGGUCCACAUUUAUAUUUCCGGACCAGAAGAGUUCUGCAUGAAACCUUUCUGCAGAGAAGAGAGACAUCUUGUAGGAAAAAUUCUAUAGUUACUGUGUUUUUAAGUAUCCUCUUGUAAUGAUAAAAACUCUCUGAUUUUAAAGGAAUUAGUACCUGCAAAAUGGUACAACGCUAUUUCUAGGUUGUUUGUUUUUCUUCACAUGUUUUUGUCUUUUCAUUGACAGUUUAGUAUCAUGUAGUAGAGCUCUUAAAAGAUUGUUUUUGACUCAUAGCAGAAAAAAUGUCUCUCUACUUAAAAAAAAAAAAAAAAUCCUAUAAGUGCUGUUUAUAAAAUGGUCAUGCCAUCGGAAAUAUUUGUGAGUACAGCAUUUGAAUAAAUUUCGGCCUUGCCAGGAUGGCAGGCACUGAUUCAAGGUGGGAGCAUUUUUAUUUUGAAGGGUUCUUCUCUUGCAGAAGAUUUAAAUUUUUUUUCAUGAUUUUUCCGAACAUUUCAUUGUUUUUUAUUGAAUCUUCUGUUGGAUGGAGAGUAUUUUUCAGAGGUGCACACUACACAAACCUACUUUGUCUAUCAACAAAUUUUUGAAAUAUUAGAGAGAGAUUUUACCAGGGGCAAAAAAAUUAUCUUGAAAUCGAGUUGAGGCUUUGUCAAUUUUUAGGCAUAGCACCAGAAAAAAUUUAAAGUUACAAACAUGGCCCAAAUUCUAAAAAAGAAAAAAAAUCAUUAAAAAAGUAAAAUUACAUCGAUAUACCUAAUUUGUUGAUUCAUCCAAUUUCAGCCGAUUACAAUUUUAAAAUUAAAGUCUUCGGUUUGGUCGAUAAUGAUCAUUGAAUGGGGUUGUAUAAACAGGUAUACAGAAAGCACUGUACAAUUAUUUUAAGAAGUGUACAACUCGUCGUGGACGAAAUUCACAGUUAAAAUUAAAUUGACAGGGUUUCUUUAAU
rnacentral:lncRNA from 1 species